CAUUUUUGUGGCUGGCUUCCAACAUGAACUGACUUACAGCAAAAGGAGUUUAUAAGAAGCCAUAGGUCUUAAUAACCUUGAGAAAUAUCUUACAAUGGACACUUUAUUGAGAUUUGAGAGCCAAUUGUUAAACAUUAACUGGCACACCACUGGAGUCAGCCCAACAAAUGAUUGGAAUCAGUUCCUGGUGUCCUUGCCAAAGCAUCGCGUUUUCAAUCCCAGAUGACUGCCCCUGUGCCAAUGAACUCUUCUCCAGCCACCCAUCUAGCGUUACGCUCCUCUGUCACCACACUGGGAAGAACCAGCGUCACCUGUGUUCCUUCAGCUCCUGCUGGCACAUGUUAGCUUUGCAAUUCCUUUGGAGAAUAGGACAGUUCUGACCAGAGCUGAGCAUAUGCCUCUCUGCUCUAGCUAUGGUGAAGCCUGCCCCUGGAUGUUGGCAUCAAGGAGCAGUGGUGAGGGCAGGUCUUGAGAAAAAACACCUUGCAGGACACCUACCACAGGAAGCACCACCCAAUGCCUUGCUCUCUGGCUGCACCCAUCAUAACUGACCACAGGUGAAAACUCCAGUAAUCAUAAUGCCACUGUGUGAUGAACAGCCACCAGUGGUCAGCAAACUUUUUCUGUAAAAGGACAGAUAGCCUCCAUCUGUUGAGGAGGAGCGAGAAGAUGAGUACACAGGCAGUCUUCGCUCCCAGCUGCUCUUCACAAUGGAACCACCACAGUUCAGGCCCCACCAUCACUGCCGUCACAGCUCUAAGUCACUUGGGCUCCUGCCUCUGCCCUCAGCCAGGAAAGCCAUCACCCACCGCUCGAGGGGAUGCCUCCAUCCUGCGGGUAACCCAGUCAGACCCCUUUGCCUGUCUCAUGCCUGUAAUCCCAGAGCUUUGGGAGGCUGAGGCAGGGGGACCAUUUGAGGCCAGGGAUUUGAGGCUUCACUGAGCUAUGAUCGCAUCAAUGCACUCCAGCAAGACCUCAUCUCUAAAAGAA
rnacentral:lncRNA from 1 species